ensembl:lncRNA
AUAUAUAUAUAUAUAUAUAUAUAUAUAUAUAUAUAUAUAUAUAUAUAUAUAUAUAUAGACAUAUAUUAAUUUAAACUAAUUACGAACAACUGAAUGAGUAUUUGUGCUUAGUAUGUAUACUACUAAAAAGUGAGAGAAUGUGCUGGUUUACAUAUUAAAAAAGAAAAUAUAAUAUAUGAAUAUAUAAUGUGUAUAUAGCACUAUGCCUCAUUGUAAACAUAAAAUGUAUUGUGUGUUUAUUUUUUUUUUUUUUAAAGGUGGCGGGUCACAGUUAAUCAGACAGGAGAUGGUCAGGUCGGUUUUGUUCCAGUGAGUUCAUGUUUGUUCAGUACAGGGAGGAAAUGAAGGGAAAUAACUACACAAAGUCCAAAACUGUUAUAAAAGAAAGACAAAAAAAUAUCCCUUUAGACUAUCACACUAGAAGGUUCUAUUUCUUUGUCGUUUUUAAAAUGACUAAUCUUGAUUCUUUUUCUCCUGUUUUCUUAAAAAGCAAUUUGAGAUGCAAUACGUAAUAAUCUUAUCAUUAAGACAGCCUUUCAGAAAAACUGAGGUAAUAAUGUACAGCGUGUGGUCGGUUGUUGAGCUAUAACACGGCCAAUCUUUGAGCUGCGGAUUCAAUAGGCUACUGUACUAUAUGUAGACUGCUGUUAAACGAAACAAAAAAUGAUUUAAAAAAGUUUCAGGCAAGAAUGUGGUCAGUGGCGUCGUAAACACGUAUACAAAACAAGUUGUACUAAUAUAAUCUUGCACAAAUAACGUCCCAAGUAGUGAAAUAUCUUCACAAUAUUUUUCUCCUCGUUGAAAGCUGUUGUAACUAAGUUAUUACCACAUUUUGAUGGUGCACAGGUUCGCUCAAAUGGAAGUUGCUUUGGACACUUGUGUUACAAUAACAGCCAGUGACUAUACAUGUAUGACUCUGGUAAAGGAAUGUGCAAUGGAGGAAAGGAAGGAAGAAAAAAAGAGAGUUGUCACUGGUUUGACCCCAUUAAAUCUCUUCAGACUAGUUGAUACAGUUGAGGUCGACACUGUAGAAAUCUCACUGCUGCGUCUUCCCCAGACAGUAAAAAGGUGUGAAGGGGGUAUGGAAUUUGUCAAAUCAGUGUGCACAGUUUUUAGUUUUUUACACUGAUGACCAAAAUGUGAUGCCUUUAGUUCAGUUCCUGAUUGUUAUGUUGGUUGUGAAGGAGGAGCUUACACUGUUUCUGCUUAUAAUCCAGAAUUCAGGCUUGUUCGAGGAAACCUGGAGACUGCAGUUUGUGCUGGGAUUUCUACAGUGGCUGCCGCUGAGCCUGUGAGGGUACCUCCAUUGUUCUAGAGUUUGGAAAACAAUGUAUCUGUCAGCUAACUGCACCAUGAAAUGAACCCUCUACGAGGACAGGAGCACUCGCGAUACCUACAACCUACAUCAACAUCUACAGUUUGUACGAUAAAACAGAAAGUAACGGGCGAUGUGUUAAACCUGAUGGCAACAGUGAUGUCAAAUACUCAGUAGGGACUGUAAACCGUCAAAAUCUGCUAAAUGCAAAGUGGGUGUUUUGUUUUUUUGGUGGAAGAAAAUGUUUUGACAUAAAGGGCAUACAUUGUUUUAUUGUUGUUUUUCAUUACUAUUGAUUUCAUUGUCUAUUUACAUCUAAUGACUAUCAAAUUCACAAAUGAUUUUUUUCUUUUUUUAACUUAGUUUUUGGUAAAAACAAAAAAAAGGUAAAUACUGCUAGUGAGAUUUUAUAUUUUUACAUAUGUUGGUUUUAUUUUGCGUUUCUUCUUUUUUUAUUUAUACGCCACUUAGUUUGGAUGUCUUUAAAUGGUGUUUUUUUUCUUUUCUUUGUUUUGUGUGAUUUCAUAUGUCUUGAGAAUGUGGAGACAAAGGCAUUUCAGUAUUUUUGAAUUGUUAAAAUCUAGUUUCAUAGAAGCGGAAGUAUCUGAUGUUAUAAAUUAUAUUUUAAUUCAUGUAAAUAGUUUAAAACAGAAGACUAUGGCUUCCUUUUAAACUGAAUACAUUUCUCUUCAGAGAUUGUUUACAUUAUGAAACUGUAGAGAUGUGCUCCUCAUAUACUGUAUAAAGUACAUAUAUUCAUUGAUUUGCCUCCAAAAAAUAAAACCCUAAUGAAC